rnacentral:lncRNA from 1 species
CCGCACAAAGGGCUGCGGUGGGAAGGAGGGCCUGGAAGCCCCGCAAGGCGGCCAGGGUCUGCACCCGCCAGGCCGCUAGGACCUCAGCCACUGGCCGAGGGGUUUCCUCCACCUGCGUGCCACCGAAAUGAGCCCUGCUUCCCGGGCCCGCCGCGACUCCAGCCUCUCCCUCACCACACACAUCACGCCACCCUCGCCAGGACCUCGGCACCACUGCCUCCCGGCUCCGCCAGUACCCCGGCGGGCUUACUCCCCUCCCUGCAGCCUGGAAGCGGCUGUUGCCUGCAGAUCCCCAGGCCCCGCCCGGCAGCCACGCCUUCUUCUUCCUGCUCACAGCUACAAAUGAUAAGAGUUCUGGAAAAAAUAAUAAUCGUAAACAAAAAGAGAAGUAAAAUAAGUCUGCUGGGGCCUUCUGGGGAAGACUUGUUUUCUGAUGAAAAGAAGAUGCACAAGAAGAAAGGUAACUGGUUCCACCCCCUUACUCUGUCUUCCUAUCUUGGAUAUAGACCUGACACCCGGACCUGUGCAGCCAUCCUGUAAUCGUGAGGCACUAACAUGAGGAUGGAACUCUAAUAACUGAGGGGAGUAGCGGAGAGACACACACAGCUUGGGUCCUUGAUGGCGUUGAGCUGUUGAAUAAACCCUGUGACCUCCUGCCUCCCAUCUCUGGUUAAAUAAGAUAAUAAUAUGUGCAACAUUUAAACUGCAGUUAAAACCCUAACGAUCCCAAGCAUUCUUAAUAUAGUAAAUCUGGGGGUUUCUCCCUCAGUUAAAUUAUCAAGCUGUGACCAU